rnacentral:rRNA from 1 species
UUGACCUCAAAUCAGGUAGGACUACCCGCUGAACUUAAGCAUAUCAAUAAGCGGAGGAAAAGAAACUAACAAGGAUUCCCCUAGUAACUGCGAGUGAAGCGGGAAAAGCUCAAAUUUAAAAUCUGGCGGUCUUGCGGCCGUCCGAGUUGUAAUCUGGAGAAGCGUUUAUCCGCGUCGGACCGUGUACAAGUCUUCUGGAAGGGAGCGUCGUAGAGGGUGAGAAUCCCGUCUUUGACACGGACAACCGGUGCUUUUGUGAUGCGCUCUCGAGAGUCGAGUGUUUGGGAUGCAGCUCAAAUGGGUGGUAAUUCCAUCUAAAGCUAAUAUUGCGAGAGACGAUAGCGACAGUACCGUGAGGAAGAUGAAAGCACU